UUAUUUGUAUUAUAUACUAUUUAUUCCCAGUUAAAUAUAAUAUUAAGCUAUAAUAAUAAUAAUAAUAAUAUAAAAUAAAAUAAUAAUAAUAAUACAAUUUUUAUAUUAAAGGUGGUUUGGUUUUUAAGCAUAAUUAAAAAUGGUUAAAUUGUUUGUUGACGGACUGGAGUUCAAGUCUCAGAUAAGCCGAAAGGGAUCGCUGUAGGCGCUGCUAAAGAGUGUGUGCACACACUCCGUCACGUGUUUCUUACGCUCUGAAACCCCUCCAGAGAGCAAAGAGUGAUGACGGCGUUACACAGAGCGAGCACACUCAGACUUUAGACAGGAGAGUCACAGAGAGGAGAGGAGAGGAGAGGAGAAAAAGGAGAGAGAAGAAGGAUGGAUGCACAAAGCGGCCUCUACGACACAGCCUGAUCAGAUGAAACUGAUAUUAUGAGACCUGUCUAGAGAGUCAACUAAAUAUUGGAACUUUCUGUUAGGAGACUUUGAAAGAGUGUCUUCUUUUUAAAUAUUUGAUGUUAUAUGAAAUACAACCUAAUUAGUAAAAAAACAGCAAAUUUCUUUAUUAGUAGAAGCUGUAUUUGUCAUUAGCAUUUAAUAUUUUUUACAAUAUUGUGCUUAUUAUAUGUUUGUUAUAAGAGCUGGAGAGAGUGUGUCAUGUUUCCUCAUUGUUGCGUUUUGUUUCAGAGUCUCCUCUUUGAAGUAGAAGCCAUAAUUUGAAGAUCACGCAGCCUUAAUAGGAGCGGUUGCUACCGCCUCUCAAUAUCGCGCAGAUAAAGAAGGAGAUCCCUGAUGUGGACAUUUUCUCAAGUCACCCAGCAAUGAAACAUACUCCUUCAAGCUCCAAACACUGUAUACAAACAGUUUGUGUCCACCUCCAUUUAUUUGACUUGUUAAUUGUUAAUAAUUAUCUGCUCCUUCAUUUUGUGAAUGUCUUUAAAAAAUUUAUAGUUGUUUUGAACAGACAAAAAAAACAAACAAACAAAUGAACACGAACCCUGUGCUGAUAUGAUUUUUAAGGGUGGCAUGUCUGUUUUCUCUUUAAUUCUGACUUAAAUGAAGAUGUAUUGUGUGAGAACGAGUGUGUGUUUUCUUCUGAUGGGGUGUCUCUACUUGUGCACAUCCCACCCUCACUGCCCACAAUCUCCCAGUCAGGGAGAAUGGCAGACCUUUGGAUUGGCUAAGUGAUGAAAUGAUGACCCCAUUAUGAGAAGUGAUUCCAAAAUGAGAGGUAUCAGACAAAGAUUGCACACCUCUCGCUGUCUCUCUCUCUUCCUGUCUUUAGCUGCAGCACCAUCCUCCAGCAGUACACUGCCAGCGGAGCAGAUGAUGAUUGAUUCACCUGAGAAGGAUCACAGGAAGCACACAUUGAUUUCUUUUUUUGGUGUUUUAUUAAAAAUAUUUAUUUAGCCCUGUAUCUGUGGGGCAUAUCAAGACUUACCUCAUAGUGGUAAAGCUAUAAAUGGGAUAAUUCACACUUUUCCAUCACAAGAUGGAUGACCUGAAGUAUUACUUUAGAAAUCAGUCAAUAGACUCAGUGAGUAAAUGAAUAUUGAUUGAAAAUAAUGAUGUCUGAGUGUGAAUAUGGGCUCAGGCAGUGACCCCUCCUUCAGACUUUAGGUAUUUUAACAGCAAUGUCAAAUGCUUGAAAGAAAGUCUCUAAUAAAGGGGCAUGUCAAAAGAUUUGUAUAUCUUUAAUAGUACAUUUAUUUCAGUCAUUUCAAAAAGUGAAAAUCACAUAGAUUCAUAACCUACAGAGGGAUACAUUUCAAGUCAUUAUUUCUGUUUGUUUUGCUGAUUAUAGCUUCCAGCUCAUACAAACCUAAAAUUCAGUUUCUCAGAAAAUUAGACCUCCAAAGUCCAAUAAAAUGUCUGGGCUUUGCUUCACAAUUCUUUCAAGGCUGAGGUUAUAGCUGUUGCAUGUCCACCUUUUUCUGUCACACUUUUGUCUUCCACUCAACUUUCCAUUAUUAUGCAUGGAUACAGCUAUUUGUGAACAACUGUCCUACUUAACAAUGGCCUGUUGUAGAUUAAGUUCCUCAUUGAAGAUGUCAGGGAAUGUCCGGAAGACUUAUUUAGGAAAGCUUUUACCUGCUAAAUUUUUAAUUUACUCUAGUGUUUUUUUUUUUUGUUUUCUUGUGUUUUCAUCGUAGCACUCUGAGUUUCCUCUUAAUGAAAAGUGCAUUAUGAAUAAAAUUCUGCUAAGUUAGCAAUUAUCCCCAUGAUUAUUUUGUGCCAUAAUAUAGCUAUAACAGAACAUUUAUGACAUUUUCUUUAUUGUGUAAUAAUAGUUUUCUGAUCAUUUCAAUAACCAGAAUUGUUUAAAAUGUGUCAAUUUCUAUUUAAUUAAUCUAUAUAAUCUAUAAAAUUUCCCUUCAGAAUGUAAUUACUAAGAUAAAUACACAUUUUUUAUAUUCUAAUUUAUUAAAAAAUAUAUAUAAUUAUCUCCCUCUCACUGGUAGUACUUGUUUGUUUCAGUUUAAUUUCUUACGUUAGUCUAACGAGAACUAGAGUAUGUUCUGGAGGUGCCGUAAGGUAAUCCCAGACUACCUGUCUGUGGAAGUCUGUGCCUUCACAAAAUGUAAGGUGAUACAAUGUGCAAAUCCAAUGACUGCCAAAAUGCUGAAACCACAGUGUGGGAGCAGUGUCCCAGAUAUUUGCUCUGACUUAAUCCAAUUGAAAUAGUAUGAGUGAGUUGCAGGGGCUCUAAGGUCUGUUCCUUGCUUAUGUAUGUGAUGCAUAAUAGAAGUUGACGAGGUUGGUGAUAGAUCACAGCCCAGGUAAUGUAAACACAUUAAUCCCUCAGGGUUCAUGUGCAUGUUGUUUCUCUCAUUUGGUCUCUUCCCCAACACAGUGCCAAUCCAACCCACCCACCUUGGCCCUACCUACACCCCCUUCCACCCUAACUCCCCAGUGUUCAUCAUCUUUCCUAAAUGCGUUACUGGAGCACAAACCAGAAGCAGCCCUAAUCUGUCAACAUGCCCUUUAAUUGGAAGAAGAAAACAACACGUGCUCCUGGUUGUGCCAUUCCUAAGUGCACAUGCCAAAGAAAUCCAGCGGUCACGGAAGAAGUGAUCCCGGGAGAGUGGGGCAUAAUUAAAAGUAUCUUUUAAUAGGCUUGAAAUGCUGAGCCUGACUCUUGUUGCCUUAAGUAGAGUGCAAAAUCUGUGGCUGGAGACGGACAUGCAAAGACGGCUUUUGCUAAAGGAGCCUGUAAACGAUACACUGCCUCCACCAUCAUCAGACAUGCUGUCUCCGCCUGAGUCACCACACUGAGGACAACAGCGACUUUCAGCUCCUGCCGUGAAAACUUCACCUCACCAGCUAACCGUGUUUCUUUGUUCUCUGAAUGAGAGCUUCUCCUCCACAACACAACUUUAGCUCUACAACUCUCCGUCCCCCAUGUUGCUUUGCCAACUUUUGCUCUACCUCCAAGUCACAACACCAGUGGGCAGUGAGAACUGGGAUUAAGGAGUUGAUUUUAGGCCUGCUACACUGUAAUCAAAUGAGACUGCUUAGGAGAGAGGAGGAGAAGGAGGAGGUGGAGUAUUAUGUUCUGUAGUGCAUUCCACUGCAGCAUUUUUUUUUUUUUUUUGUCAGGGCAGGCUUUGAUGCUGUAUCACCUUACCUUUGUAGUCCCGGUAGCCAUGUUUCAUAAACACGGAAUAGGAAACAUCCCUGGCAUUAGAAAUGGAGAUUGCUGCUUUCCUCACCGCCACUCUGCAUUCUGCACGUGCCCGGUCGCAUUCUCCAUAUCCCAGCACUGGGGUAUUAAGUUUCUUCCCCAAUGCCUCUGAUACAUUUAAACAUCUCACAAUCAAUCCCAGUGAUUUAGAGUGUCAUGUAUAAUCUGCGGCAACAACAAUGCCAACAUUGCUUUGUGUCCUUGUGGCUGUCAUAUUUUCUUUUUUUUUUUAAGACAACUGCACUUGGAAAAUGCUUAAUUCCUUGAAGCUGAGAAGCUAGCAUUAGUGCAAUUUAGACUUUGUCUUCAUGAUUGAGUAUAUAAUAUUAAUACCAAGCUCCUCAUUCCGUAGGGUACCCUCUUGCUUUGUAUUAUUACACAGGGAAUUGUCUGGUCUCACUUCUCUUUGUAGUUAACUGAAACCCUCCAUGGGAUUGAGUUUAAUUGUAUUUCUAAAUCUAACUCAUUAAAAGCCAAACUCUUCAGUUCUGCUGCCAAUAUUUAAUAUUUUUUUCUCUCUGCAGUCUUUACGUUAUUCUGUAUUCUCAUGAGAGUACUUUCACACAUGAUUUAUUAUAUAAAUGUCAGUCCUGCGAAUCAGUUAAAAUAAUUCAAUUAUCCCCCACAUUCUUUUAUCAGACAAGGUACAGGAUCCUCUGUUUUACCUGUCAGAAAUCUUCUCUGUUGUCUUCUUACAUUUUGUCCAACAUCUGACACACUGCCCUGGGUGAUUGAGCCAGACGUGGAAAUCCAAAGCGGAGAUGCUCCCCUUAAUGCCUGACACCUGGUGCAGAUUUGGAAGGGAUUGUACUGCAGGUACUGACUUACCAUUUUGCGAAUCCCAGAAAGUCCCCGAGGAAUUUCCUUUGCUGUCCAUGGCUGUGUUUGUUUCUGCUCUGCUUUGCCACCCACCAAUCAGCCUGCAUCAGUUAGUCCAACUGUGUUGGGAUUAGGGUGAGAGGGUGUUGAAAUAUGAUGCCUAUCAUCCGUUAGAUACAUGCAGUUCUGAUUUGUUCAGAUAUUUGUUAGGCCUAAAGGAUUUCAGCAGGAUUAAUGUCUUUCUCAGGUGUAUCCCGGGAUUUCAUAGGUUAGAUAAUAUUUUGUUGGCGGGGCAGAACCCUAUAGAUUUGAAAAGGUAAUAACAAGAUGUAGUUAGAUUAGUCCAAAUUAAACAAAAAAAAUUACAUUAUGACUGCAAUUAACUGCUUACCAAUACUUCCCUAAUACUGCAACAUUCUGUGUGUCAAAUUACACCAACACUCUGUUUCAGGGGAUGAUUUACAACUGAAUGUCUUGCUCAGUUUAUUUAAUUGGGAUUCUAUGUGAUAGAUCAAUACAAAUUAGCACAUUGUUGCAAAGUAUAAGACAAAUGAUAUAUAAUUUUCAAACUGCUUUACAAAUAAUGAAAAAAAAAAACAUUGUUGCAUGCCUUUGUGUUUAAUUGCUGAGUCAGCCCUUUGUUGAACGGUCUGACCGUAAACUGAAUGUUGCCCCCGUCUCAAGUCUUUUGGAACAUCUAAGAGAUUUUCUUGAAGAAUUAUUAUGUAUUUAGCCCCAUCCAUCUUCCUGCCAACUCUAAAUAACUUCACUGUCCUAGGUAAAGGAUAGCACCCCACAGGAUGAUCCCUCCACCACUAGGUUUUGUAGUGGGGAGCAUGUUUAGGGUAAUGUGCAUUGUUAGUUUUGUUAAACACAUGGAGUUGUGUGUAGGCCAAAAAAUAAUAACAUUAGAUCAAAGCACCUUCUAUCAAAAGGAUCCUGUGUCCUCUACCUUACUUCAUAUGGCUUUCUUUCCACAAUGGUUUUCUUCUUCCCAUUCUUUGUUAGUGCCUGUAUUUUGGAUCAUACAACCAAUAGCUUUCUUGCCAAUGAAUUAUCCCACCUGAGCUAUUUAUCUACGUUGCUCAUCCAAUGAAACCAAUUACUUUUGUUGCUUUCCUUGCCAGACAUUUCAAUUUAGAUGGAUGGCCAUGUCUUGGUAUGCAUGACGUUAUGCCGUACUAUUUCCAUUUUUGAAUGAUGGAUUGAGUAGUUCUCUCUGAGAUUUGCAGAGUUUGGGAUAUUGUUUUAUAGCUUAAUCCUGUUUUAAACUUUCCCACAAUUCUGGAACUGUAGUGUAAUGUCAUCAGUUAAAACACAGAUAACAAGGAUGAAGUGUUGAAGACACACCAUAAUAAUGUACGGAUUCCUGCUUGAUAAAUAGAUAUAUUUUGCACCAGUGAAAAAUGUUAAAGUGUGCACUUGGUGAGCUUUUCAGGCAUACUGUUUAUGUUGACACAUGCAACUCUCUUCCUGAUGCAAAUCCAAUCUAAACAUUAAGCAGAGGUAAGGCAAGCGUAGCCCAUAAAGGCUGUGAGCUCCAAACACUUUGAACAGACAACUAUCACUAAUCACUCCCAGAGCAGUGCGGCGUGUAAUUACUCUGCCAAACGUUUGCCUUUCACAGCUUAGCACCGGGAGCCCUGACCCUGUCUUUCCUCACCGCCAUGCAUGUGGAAGGCUUGUGCCCCCUCCGCACAUUCACCCCCCCAACCCCAUUUUCCCUUCACUAAAGGAAAAGGCAAGCUAAGUCUCCCUCUCAGUAUUUCAAGGAACUGUAGCGGAGGAAGGAGAAAGGGAGAAAGACGGAGAGGGCCCGAGGUUGCUGCUUCCGGCUGUGUAGGAGCCCGUUUAAAUGGGCUUUGAAACCCUAGCCAUCCGGAGAUCAGAAAUAGCCUUAUUGACUGCGAGGGCCCAGAAGUGACUGAGCACGCAGUGUUCUAAGAGUUCACCCUUCUUGGCUGCUCCGAAUGUGUGAUCUGUCCUCUCUCUGGGUGAAUGCUGAUAAGAUGACACAAUGCAAAUAUGAAGCCGGAGCAGGGACGCCUUGGCAAGCAAGUAGUGCAUGUGCAGAGGCUGGCAUCCCCAUAAUGACUAUUAGGUGGAUUUCACAGCCUGCUUCUGAUGUCUUGCAAUGACAGGGGGCCUUUAUAAGAGGAUGGGCAAACCGCUGCCCCGCCUUAUAACCCCGCUAACACACACAGGCACAUGAAUACACCACCCAAAUGAAUAAAAUAGUCAGAACAAUAUGUAUGGGUUUUAAUUUAUAAAGAAAAAGGAUGCUCUUUAUCACCUGAAUACA